UUUCCUUCUGUUUUUUGAUUUUUGUUUCUUUUAACUUUUGAAGGGAGAAAGUGAUGGAACGCUCAACUAAAUAUGUGUCAUGUGCCAAUUUUCUACAAUGGAAUUGGAUUUUGGAAGAAGGUGUGGCUUGUAAACAGACUCAGUUAGUAGGUAAUGGGUCACCUAUUCUGACUGGAGGUCAAUUGCAAGUCUUUCGGAGUCUUGGAUUGCCCAGCACCUCAUAAUUAUGAUAUGAUUAAUUAAAUUUAUCCAAAUUUUUAUCCAAAAGCAUGGUAAAAUUUUUAUUUACUUAUAUAUUUUUAUAAAAAAAAUUAUUUGCACGUCUACCUAUUAAGAAUAUUUUAAUUAUUUUAAUUUAAAUCGUUAAUUUUUAAUGGCGUAAGAUGGUAUUACGAAGGUAUACAUACAAAUAUUAAUUUUGAAAAGGUAUUCACGUAAAAUUCUAUAUUUAGAAAGGUAUCUAUGAAAAAAAAACUUUUUUUUAUUUUCCGAAGCCUGGACUGAUGGAUCCUGGCCAUCCAAAAAAAAGGGAUAAGGUACUCCGAGAGAGAGAGAGAGAGAG
rnacentral:lncRNA from 1 species